rnacentral:rRNA from 1 species
UGGGGAAUUUUGGACAAUGGGGGAAACCCUGAUCCAGCCAUCCCGCGUGUGCGAUGAAGGCCUUCGGGUUGUAAAGCACUUUUGGCAGGAAAGAAACGUCAUGGGUUAAUACCCCGUGAAACUGACGGUACCUGCAGAAUAAGCACCGGCUAACUACGUGCCAGCAGCCGCGGUAAUACGUAGGGUGCAAGCGUUAAUCGGAAUUACUGGGCGUAAAGCGUGCGCAGGCGGUUCGGAAAGAAAGAUGUGAAAUCCCAGGGCUCAACUUUGGAACUGCAUUUUUAACUGCCGGGCUAGAGUGUGUCAGAGGGAGGUGGAAUUCCGCGUGUAGCAGUGAAAUGCGUAGAUAUGCGGAGGAACACCGAUGGCGAAGGCAGCCUCCUGGGAUAACACUGACGCUCAUGCACGAAAGCGUGGGGAGCAAACAGG